AAUGAACGCUGGCGGCAUGCCUAACACAUGCAAGUCGAACGAAGGCUUCGGCCUUAGUGGCGCACGGGUGCGUAACGCGUGGGAAUCUGCCCUCAGGUUCGGAAUAACAGCGAGAAAUUGCUGCUAAUACCGGAUGAUAUCGCGAGAUCAAAGAUUUAUCGCCUGAGGAUGAGCCCGCGUAGGAUUAGCUAGUUGGUGUGGUAAAGGCGCACCAAGGCGACGAUCCUUAGCUGGUCUGAGAGGAUGAUCAGCCACACUGGGACUGAGACACGGCCCAGACUCCGACGGGAGGCAGCAGUGGGGAAUAUUGGACAAUGGGCGAAAGCCUGAUCCAGCAAUGCCGCGUGAGUGAUGAAGGCCUUAGGGCUGUAAAGCUCUUUUACCCGGGAUGAUAAUGACAGUACCGGGAGAAUAAGCUCCGGCUAACUCCGUGCCAGCCGCCGCCGUAC
rnacentral:rRNA from 1 species